UUUCCUACUAAAAAUCAAGUAAUAUUUCAUGCUAAUAUAUCCAGACUGAUUCAAUAGCCUAAUGAAUAGUAAAAAGUGAGAUACGUUGACCUAGGUACAGAAGUGACAUCAGAUCUUUGGAACCUUCAGCCUCUUGUUAGAUAAAGGUAUUGUGGAGGCAAAGCUCUGUUUCCAAGGCGAUAAGGAGAAAUGAAACCAACAUAAUUGUUGCAUCCUAGAUCUCAGCUAAAGUGGAGCCUCAAUUUCUCAAGGAAAGAGAUGGAAAUAACCUCACUGAAAUAGAUUUUUCAGGUGUUCAUAACUUUGGAAGACCUUUUGAGCUGAUUUUUUCCAGGCUCAGCAUCAGUUUCAUGGUAACUUAUUUGAGAAGUUCACGCAAAAUAUUGUGUCUCCAUUUUCAUUGAGAAGACAAUGGAAACAAAUACUGUUGAUGAAUGCAGGGUAUGCAAAAAGGUUGAAAAUGCUGCUGGCUGUAUAAUGAAGAUAUGGAGGACCUGCAAAGGAUUGGUUGUUGGGGCUUGAGUGCUCAGUCCUUGA